rnacentral:lncRNA from 1 species
UAUUUGUUACUAUUAGCUCCUAUGGCAUCCCUUUUAAUUUUAAUGUUCAGCAUGAUGAUGCUACUGAUACUACUGGUACUAAUGAUAUUAAAUUCAUACGAUUGUAACUUAUAAAAUUAUUUGAUUAAGAAAUACGUGCUUUUGAUACAUGAAAGGGAGUGUUCAUCUUUUGGAGCAUAACCGUUAUGAUCAAAGUAUUGUAAUUUCUUGGUCGAGUGGGAGAUUUUGACUGUAUAAUUUAGUUGGUACCUAAUAAAGUUUUUGUAUCGCCUAUACGGUAAUAAAUAUAUCACUAGGCUAAGUGCGAGAAUGUUUGAGUGGCCGACAUGAUAUAUUCAAGGCUAUCUAUAAAGAGACGGUUAAUCUAAUUAAGUCGAUCUAUAAAGAUACAGUAGAUCUUACGGUUAGGAUGAAUUUGGACACGUCCUUGAUGGACGGACGUGAUUUAACAUCCUUAUAUCAAGUUAUAU